rnacentral:piRNA from 1 species
UGGAAGAAACCCAGGAAGUGCUUGGACGC